ACGAACGCUGGCGGCGUGCUUAACACAUGCCAGUCGCACGGAAAGGCCCUGCUUUUGUGGGGUGCUCGAGUGGCGAACGGGUGAGUAACACGUGAGUAACCUGCCCUUGACUUUGGGAUAACUUCAGGAAACUGGGGCUAAUACCGGAUAGGAGCUCCUGCUGCAUGGUGGGGGUUGGAAAGUUUCGGCGGUUGGGGAUGGACUCGCGGCUUAUCAGCUUGUUGGUGGGGUAGUGGCUUACCAAGGCUUUGACGGGUAGCCGGCCUGAGAGGGUGACCGGCCACAUUGGGACUGAGAUACGGCCCAGACUCCUACGGGAGGCAGCAGUGGGGAAUAUUGCACAAUGGGCGGAAGCCUGAUGCAGCAACGCCGCGUGCGGGAUGACGGCCUUCGGGUUGUAAACCGCUUUCGCCUGUGACGAAGCGUGAGUGGCGGUAAUGGGUAAAGAAGCACCGGCUAACUACGUG
rnacentral:rRNA from 1 species